CUUAUGUCCUGUCUAAUACUGAUCAAUGAAAAUUAUACAAAAUUGAUUUAGUCUCGCUUAAGGACAAGAUUAAAUAUGUUUUAUUAUCCUAGCGCUUCAAUAGCUUUAACUUUUUGUUGUGCUCGAGAAACGUAGAACGACAUUU